rnacentral:rRNA from 1 species
AGAGUUUGAUCCUGGCUCAGAUUGAACGCUGGCGGAAUGCUUUACACAUGCAAGUCGAACGAUGAAGUCUAGCUUGCUAGACGGAUUAGUGGCGAACGGGUGAGUAAUAUAUCGGAACGUAUCCAUUAAUGGGGGAUAACUAGUCGAAAGAUUGGCUAAUACCGCAUACGUCCUACGGGGGAAAGCUAGGGACCUUCGGGCCUGGUGUUAAUGGAGCGGCCGAUAUCUGAUUAGCUAGUUGGUGAGGUAAAGGCUCACCAAGGCGACGAUCAGUAGCUGGUCUGAGAGGACGACCAGCCACACUGGAACUGAGACACGGUCCAGACUCCUACGGGAGGCAGCAGUGGGGAAUUUUGGACAAUGGGCGCAAGCCUGAUCCAGCCAUUCCGCGUGAGUGAAGAAGGCCUUCGGGUUGUAAAGCUCUUUCGCAAGGGAAGAAAACUUACCCUCUAACAUAGGGUGAGGAUGACGGUACCUUGAUAAGAAGCACCGGCUAACUACGUGCCAGCAGCCGCGGUAAUACGUAGGGUGCGAGCGUUAAUCGGAAUUACUGGGCGUAAAGCGUGCGCAGGCUGUUUUGUAAGUCAGAUGUGAAAUCCCUGGGCUCAACCUAGGAACUGCGUUUGAAACUACAAGACUAGAAUAUGUCAGAGGGGGGUAGAAUUCCACGUGUAGCAGUGAAAUGCGUAGAGAUGUGGAGGAAUACCAAUGGCGAAAGCAGCCCCCUGGGAUAAUAUUGACGCUCAUGCACGAAAGCGUGGGGAGCAAACAGGAUUAGAUACCCUGGUAGUCCACGCCCUAAACGAUGUCUACUAGUUGUUGGUGGAGUAAAAUCCAUGAGUAACGCAGCUAACGCGUGAAGUAGACCGC